UACAGAGGAGCCAAGCGUUGUCCGGAUUGACUGGGCGUAAAGCGCACGCAGGCGGACGCGCGCGUGGGGUGUGAAAUCUGGCCGCUUAACGGCCAGGCGCCAUCCCAUACGGCGCGUCUGGAGUGAUGCAGAGGUCGAUGGAAUUGCCGGUGCAGUGGUGAAAUGCGUAGAGAUCGGCAGGAACACCCAGGGGGAAACCAGUCGACUGGGCAUCUACUGACGCUGAGGUGCGAGAGCGUGGGGAGCAAACAGG
rnacentral:rRNA from 1 species